AUUUUGCUUUUUUUGCUGAACACCCUGUAUGUAUACAAUAGUGUGCGUGGCUGUGUAAAUAAAGCUAUUGAACGGUACGAAGACGCGUGAAAAUACAUUUGAGCUGCAAAGUGAGCAAUUAAAAAAAUACAUUUGACGUUUGACGUUUUUUAUGCGAGGUGCAUAAAUGUUUACGUUAUGAUUAUCUCGUGUCGGACGAAUGUAUACGGUGUACGAAAUGCAUUGGGGGAGAGAUUUGUUUUGCAAUGACGGUUAGCCGGUAAGAAAACAUGAAAACCGAGGUGUCCUGGAAACGGCGAUUCUUGCGAAAGAAGCUCAAGUACAUGCUGAUAUGCGUCCUCGUGGUUGCCGUGAUAUUUGUGCUUCAUCAGCUGUUUUACUUUAAAGAGCUGAAUCGGGAGAGCGUUGGCAAACUGAUCACCGGCUCGUUGCGAGAUAAUCAUCACGUCGUCGUCGGAAAGCGAAUCUCCAAGUGGCAUCAGCCGCAACACUCCAAGCUCAUACGUGACAAAAACGGACAGACUGUGUCCUUGCGUGGUACACGAGACCAAGAUAUUGCUAAGUAUCUUCCCAAUGUUAGGGGGAAAUUCGUCUGUUUCGCUUCAAACAGGGAAAUCGACUUUGUGAAAAUUAAUGAUGAUUAUUGCGACUGUCCGAUGGAUGGUAGCGAUGAACCAGGUACCUCUGCGUGCAAUAACGGUGUCUUCUAUUGCGAGACUAGUUCCAGAAAAUCAGCAGCAAAGAUAUCAUCGUUUAAGGUCAAUGAUGGAUUUUGUGAUUGUUGCGAUGGUUCUGAUGAAUGGGCUGAAGCAGCACUGUUGUACGAGCUCAAAGGAUCGAGAGGUAUAACUUUUCAUGGAGUUAAGUGCCCAAAUAGAUGUUAGUGAAUUAUAAUUCAAAUUGGAAAGUAAGAGCUGUUGUUUCCGAUAUGGACUUAGAUACAUCAUGAUAAAAGUUGUAUAACAAAUGCAAAUAGUAUAAUAGAUAAUUUGCAACACAGAAAUGCCAAUUACAUUAUUAUUAUUAUCAAUCAAGAUUAUAAUUUGCAUAUAGUUUUAUGCUUGUUUUCAUUCUCAAGUGAGAAAACACUGUAAUCUAUUAUUCUAUCAAUUUUAUAGAUAAAUACUUAUUAGUAUAUUUUCAACAUUUAACAUUGGAGAAGUGUACAACGACUUUAUUCUACAUUAUUUCUGAUAUCUGUAAGAAUAUUAAAAUGCCAUGACAAACUUCGUGUUUUGUCACCAAAAUGUAAGGUUCGUUGUACAGAUAUUCCCAUAUUUUUUAAAAUCUCAUUGAAAUUAUUUUCUUCCGAACCAAUCCAUGGUCGAUGAGUGUCUCGUACUUGAUAUGGUGUAACAUGUACGUGAGUGUUUAUUCCUAAAAAUAAUAAAAAAUAUUAACUAUAUUAUAUUGAAA